GUAUCCAACUAAUGCAGAGUAUAUUCAAGUUGCCAACACACUGGUUGUGAAGAACCCUUUCCAGAGAAAUAUAAAGGAAAUGACUGAAACUUGUGUUGGGGAGGAUUCAAUGUCUUUUGAGAAUCAUGUGAAUGUGCUACAAAGUGAGUAUCAGAAAACACCUCCAGACCCCUGGACUGUCAAAGACCACACGGCACGAACAUUCUCCCGGAGACGCUGAGAAAGCACGGAAGGAAUGUCUGUGGAGGAUGUACUUAAAAACACCCAUACUUAAGGACACCUGCUGGAGGGACCCUGCUACACCCUUUCCUACCAUACAGCUGAUGGAUUCUGACUGGAAAAUGGUAAUCAUAGGAGGAGGGUUCAGUGUGGUGACAGAAGAUGGAAUAGACGUGUGUCAGUGCACCAGCCUUGAUGAAGCCUUCAUACCAGCCUUCUGGAUGUAUUUUGCUUUCAACAUUACAUAUCCAACAUACCUGAGAAAGACAUUGACUUUCCUUCAGAGGCACAUUGUCAACAUUAGAAGAGGGAGACAAGCACUGCCAGUAACUUUACUCUGA
ensembl:lncRNA